GAUGAACGCUGGCGGCGUGCUUAACACAUGCAAGUCGAACGGUGAAGCAGAGCUUGCUCUGUGGAUCAGUGGCGAACGGGUGAGUAACACGUGAGCAACCUGCCCCGGACUCUGGGAUAAGCGCUGGAAACGGCGUCUAAUACCGGAUACGAGAUUCCACCGCAUGGCGAGUUUCUGGAAAGAUUUUUUGGUCUGGGAUGGGCUCACGGCCUAUCAGCUUGUUGGUGAGGUAAUGGCUCACCAAGGCGUCGACGGGUAGCCGGCCUGAGAGGGUGACCGGCCACACUGGGACUGAGACACGGCCCAGACUCCUACGGGAGGCAGCAGUGGGGAAUAUUGCACAAUGGGCGGAAGCCUGAUGCAGCAACGCCGCGUGAGGGAUGACGGCCUUCGGGUUGUAAACCUCUUUUAGCAGGGAAGAAGCGAAAGUGACGGUACCUGCAGAAAAAGCGCCGGCUAACUACGUGCCAGCAGCCGCGGUAACAC
rnacentral:rRNA from 1 species